AGAGUUUGAUCCUGGCUCAGGAUGAACGCUAGCUACAGGCUUAACACAUGCAAGUCGAGGGGCAGCAUGUUGGUUGCUUGCAACCAACGAUGGCGACCGGCGCACGGGUGAGUAACGCGUAUCCAACCUACCCUUGUCCAUCGGAUAACCCGUCGAAAGGCGGCCUAACACGAUAUGCGGUUCACAGCAGGCAUCUAACGUGAACGAAAUGUGAAGGAGAAGGAUGGGGAUGCGUCUGAUUAGCUUGUUGGCGGGUAACGGCCACAAGGCUACGAUCAGUAGGGGUUCUGAGAGGAAGGUCCCCCANAUUGGAACUGAGACACGGUCCAAACUCCGUACGGAGGCA
rnacentral:rRNA from 1 species